rfam:Ixodes scapularis strain Wikel colony gcontig_1108378579988, whole genome shotgun sequence.
UCUUGGUUAGCUCAGUUGGUGGAGCGCUCCACUAGAAAUGGAGAGAUGCCUGGCUCAAUACCACGACCAGGAA